rnacentral:rRNA from 1 species
AGAAUUGAUCUAGGUUCAGGAUGAACGCUAGCUACAGGCUUAACACAUGCAAGUCGAGGGGCAGCGAGAAGGAAGCUUGCUUCUUGUCGGCGACCGGCGCACGGGUGAGUAACGCGUAUCCAACCUUCCCCUUAGUAGGGCAUAGCCCGUAGAAAUGCGGAUUAAUACCCUAUGUUGUUCGAUGCGGACAUCUAAGUUGAACCAAAGGUUUACCGCUAAGGGAUGGGGAUGCGUCCGAUUAGGCAGCAGGCGGGGUAACGGCCCACCUGGCCGACGAUCGGUAGGGGUUCUGAGAGGAAGGUCCCCCACAUUGGAACUGAGACACGGUCCAAACUCCUACGGGAGGCAGCAGUGAGGAAUAUUGGUCAAUGGGCGAGAGCCUGAACCAGCCAAGUAGCGUGGACCAGGAUGACGGCCCUAUGGGUUAGUAAACUGCUUUUAUGCGGGGAUAAAGUGCGGCACGUGUGCCGUUUUGUAGGUACCGCAUGAAUAAGGACCGGCUAAUUCCGUGCCAGCCGCCGC